rnacentral:rRNA from 1 species
CCCUUAGAUGUUCUGGGCCGCACGCGCGCUACACUGAUGCAUUCAACGAGUCUAAAACCUGCUCUGAUAGGGGUGGGUAAUCUUUUGAAUGUGCAUCGUGAUUGGGAUAGAUGAUUGCAAUUUUUCAUCUUCAACGAGGAAUGCCUAGUAAACGCAAGUCAUCAGCUUGCAUUGAUUACGUCCCUGCCCUUUGUACACACCGCCCGUCGCUCCUACCGAUUGAAUGAUCCGAUGAAUAUCAUGGAUUGAGGAUGCAAGUAGGUUCGCCUAUCUUCAUCUUCGAGAAGUGAAGUAAAUCUUAUCGUUUAGAGGAAGGAAAAGUCGUAACA